UCCUACGGGAGGCAGCAGUAGGGAAUCUUCCACAAUGGGCGAAAGCCUGAUGGAGCAACGCCGCGUGGGUGAAGAAGGUCUUCGGAUCGUAAAGUUCUGUUGAAGGGGAAAAAGAGCGGAGAGAGGAAAUGGUCUCCGAUUGAUAUUACCCUUCGAGGAAGUCACGGCUAACUACGUGCCAGCAGCCGCGGUAAUACGUAGGUGGCGAGCGUUAUCCGGAAUGAUUGGGCGUAAAGGGUGCGUAGGCGGCAUGCUAAGUCUGGAGGGACAGGGACCGGCUCAACCGGUACAGGCUCUGGAAACUG
rnacentral:rRNA from 1 species